CAGGCCUAACACAUGUGAGUCGAGGGGCAGCAGGGCAAUAGCUUGCUAUUGCUGCUGGCGACCGGCGCACGGGUGAGUAACGCGUAUCCAACCUACCCCGCGGUCAGGGACAGCCCGGCGAAAGUCGGAUUAAUACCUGAUGCAGUCAGAAGAGGGCAUCUGAUUUUGACGAAAGAUUGAUCGCCUCGGGAUGGGGAUGCGUAGGAUUAGGCAGGCGGCGGGGUAACGGCCCACCGCGCCGACGAUCCUUAGGGGUUCUGAGAGAAAGGUCCCCCACACUGGUACUGAGACACGGACCAGACUCCUACGGGAGGCAGCAGUGAGGAAUAUUGGUCAAUGGGCGCGAGCCUGAACCAGCCAAGUAGCGUGCAGGAGGACGGCCCUAUGGGUUGUAAACUGCUUUUAUGCGGGGAUAAAGUGCGGCACGUGUGCCGUUUUGUAGGUACCGCAUGAAUAAGGACCGGCUAAUUCCGUGCCAGCAGCCGCGGUAAUACGGAAGGUCCGGGCGUUAUCCGGAUUUAUUGGGUUUAAAGGGAGCGCAGGCGGCCUUUUAAGCGUGACGUGAAAUGUAGGCGCUCAACGUCUGAAUUGCGUCGCGAACUGUUAGGCUUGAGUAGACGGAAUGUCGGCGGAAUUCGUGGUGUAGCGGUGAAAUGCUUAGAUAUCACGAAGAACUCCGAUUGCGAAGGCAGCUGACAGCAGUUUUACUGACGCUCAUGCUCGAAAGUGCGGGUAUCGAACAGGAUUAGAUACCCUGGUAGUCCGCACGGUAAACGAUGGAUGCCCGCUGUUUGCCUUUUUGGUAAGCGGCCAAGCGAAAGCAUUAAGCAUCCCACCUGGGGAGUACGCCGGCAACGGUGAAACUCAAAGGAAUUGACGGGGGCCCGCACAAGCGGAGGAACAUGUGGUUUAAUUCGAUGAUACGCGAGGAACCUUACCCGGGCUUGAACUGCACAGGAAUGCGGGAGAGAUCCCAAAGCCCUUCGGGGCCUGUGUGGAGGUGCUGCAUGGUUGUCGUCAGCUCGUGCCGUGAGGUGUCGGCUUAAGUGCCAUAACGAGCGCAACCCUUCUCUUCAGUUGCCAUCACUUCGGGUGGGCACUCUGGAGACACUGCCACCGUAAGGUGUGAGGAAGGUGGGGAUGACGUCAAAUCAGCACGGCCCUUACGUCCGGGGCUACACACGUGUUACAAUGGCGCGUGCAGAGGGCCGGCACUGGGCAAUCAGUGUCCAAUCCUUAAAACGCGUCUCAGUUCGGACUGGGGUCUGCAACCCGACCCCACGAAGCUGGAUUCGCUAGUAAUCGCGCAUCAGCCAUGGCGCGGUGAAUACGUUCCCGG
rnacentral:rRNA from 1 species